rnacentral:rRNA from 1 species
CAGUAGCCGCGGGAAUACGUAGGGUCCGAGCGUUGUCCGGAAUUAUUGGGCGUAAAGGGCUCGUAGGCGGUUUGUCGCGUCGGGAGUGAAAACCAGCAGCUUAACUGCUGGCCUGCUUUCGAUACGGGCAGUCUUGAGGCAUUCAGGGGAGAACGAAAUUCCUGGUGUAGCGGUGAAAUGCGCAGAUAUCAGGAGGAACACCGGUGGCGAAGGCGGUUCUCUGGGAAUGUUCUGACGCUGAGGAGCGAAAGUGUGGGGAGCGAACAGGAUUAGAUACCCCUGUAGUCCCUGUCUCUUAUCA